rnacentral:rRNA from 1 species
AACGAACGCUGGCGGCAUGCCUUACACAUGCAAGUCGAACGGCAGCACGGGAGCAAUCCUGGUGGCGAGUGGCGAACGGGUGAGUAAUAUAUCGGAACGUGCCCGGUCGUGGGGGAUAACGUAGCGAAAGCUACGCUAAUACCGCAUACGAUCUACGGAUGAAAGCGGGGGAUCGCAAGACCUCGCGCGAUUGGAGCGGCCGAUAUCAGAUUAGGUAGUUGGUGAGGUAAAAGGCUCACCAAGCCGACGAUCUGUAGCUGGUCUGAGAGGACGACCAGCCACACUGGGACUGAGACACGGCCCAGACUCCUACGGGAGGCAGCAGUGGGGAAUUUUGGACAAUGGGCGCAAGCCUGAUCCAGCAAUGCCGCGUGCAGGAUGAAGGCC